ACAUAAUCGCGUCGGUUGAGUUAGGUGAACGCCAAAACGAGCGGUUAUAGCUGAGGACGUUGAAGAGAAACAAGGCGAUCAGAAAAUCGUUGAUAGGAGGCGCAGGCAGUUGAAGAAUCCAAGAAGCUUCUCUCCGAGAGGAGAGAGGUCGGAAAUUAAGGUCGUCUAAUGGCGUGGUGGCGGAAGAUGAAGUUCCCGAUGCGGAAAAUCUGGAGCCGGGUCGCAACCCACCUCGGCAUCCACAAAUCGGGGCUACCGAAGCUAAGACAUGAUAUAAGAACAUGCGAGUACGAGGACGUGCAUGUGAUGUGGAGGAUGCUCAACCCUAAUGACAGAUCAGAGACCAUUCAAUUGGGAGGAGGAGGAGGAGGAGGAGAAACGGCCAAGAAGAAACGUUUUUCCAAUUUGUUCGAUUGGAUUAAACGAACUCCAUCGGUUUGCCGUGCCUUCUGAUUUCUGAUGUGUUUUUGGAUCAUAUAUGUGUCAAUAUUCUACCAUGUUUCAGCUCACAAAUCGUUUUCUGGAAAUUAUGGUGGAAGUUAUAUUUUGGUGUCUGUUUUGUCUUCUCCCAAUGACGUCAGUGGUCGGCCGCCGGUCUGUGUUUUGUAGAUAUCAACGGUUCAUAUAUGGAUUCUCCUUUCUUGUUAUUAAAUAAACUUAACUUGAUUGUAUGUUUGUGUA